rnacentral:lncRNA from 1 species
UUGGUAUUUAAAGAAAGAUAAAUUUGUAUAUAAGGACUCCGUUUGGAUAUGCCAACGAGAGCACAUGAACUGCGUUCGGAUUUUCCAUCGCAAUCAUAUACAUUGUUUUUGGUUUAAAUUAACUAAGUUGUAACACUGAUACUUUAUAUUUGGACUUUAUUAAAUGAAUUUGGACUUUACCAAUUUGUUUAUGUUUACUGUAUUGAACUGCCGACUUGUGUGUGAAUAAAGAGCUAGUACCCCGCAUUGUGAAUCGUUCCCAAAGACGGAAUCCCACUCGAAGCCAUUUGGCAAUAUUUAUCUGGAAAGGUACAAAAUCUGUCUUCAUACAUGUACACCACUUUUGUAAAUUUCAUGAAUUCUCGUGUGCCUAUAAAAGUGACUUUUUUCACUAAAUUAUUUACCGAUACAGGUAAAUG